ACUAAUCGUCUGAUACUAAAAAAAUGUAUAUCCCGUAUUUAAAUUUGGGUAACCAAAAUACAAAAGUAGCUAAAUAAUUUACAUCGUUUAGGCAAUUCUGUAUAAAAAGUUGUUGUUUUUGGAAUUUCGUCAAACAGGGAUGCCAACAGCAAAUUGCAGAAGCUUUCCGAUGGAGGCAGUACGACCGAAGUAGAAUAAUAAAAUUUUAAGAAAUUUUGCGCGCUACAUGGUGUUGAUGGUCAUUCAUGUAAGCAUGAAUUUGUUGCUCGUUGGCUGAAUGCUGGAAAUUUUGAGUCCCGGUUAAAGCUUGACAGACCGAAUUUCAUAUCAACAGCGCGGCGUAACGUGAAGAAGCAUGAUACGGCCGUUAGUGGACAACAACCGAAACCCAACGCAAGCGGAUCAAAAAACUACAAAAAGUUGCCAAUGUGAAGCAUGUGAACCCAUCUAGGAAGUGGUGACCACUAAAAGAAAGAGGAUCCGCUGAAAAUUUAAAAAAAAUGAUAUGGGAGAUAGGAAUUAUCACAGGACAGCAACUAUAAAACGAUAUUACGUUCACUGUUUCGGGUGAGUCCCCAGAUAGACCCAAAAAUCCCUUGCUGGAGAACAGGUUACGAUGAAAUUGGAUAAAUAAUGACGAUCCAUCAAUCACCGCUCAAGCGCCA